AAUUCUGAUCUAUUAUUUGAAAGUAAUUUUUGAAUUUCAUAACAAAUAUCAUACGAAGAAUGGGCCAUUCAGAACGCAGGGCUCGAUAUAAAACGCUUUGGAGUAAGGAAGAAAUUGAUUACAUCAAUAAAACUGUCAGCAUUUCUUAACAUUUAUGCUCCAUGGAUCAUAUUCUUUAUUUUAUAAAAAUUAAUAAAAAAUAUGAAAAUUACAUUAUACACAUAAUUUAGUUUUUUAAAUAAAAACUGAAAAAAUAUAAGUUUAGAAAAAACAGUU